CUUUAAAAAUCUGGAACAAGCUGAAAAUUGAAACAAUAAACGCGCAAGCGUUUAUGAGUCUCUCAAAUUAUCACACCUGAAGACAUCUUCGG
rfam:Shimwellia blattae DSM 4481 = NBRC 105725, complete genome.